GAGAGAGCCAAGGCACACCCACAGAAGGACUCUGAACCACGAACCACAGAAGGACUCUGAAUUUACUAUUGCUUCAGAGCAGCGAGAGGGGAAUUUUUUCUGAACCUUGUGUGGAGGAGGGGUUGCUGAAAUCUGCCUUCUUCAGAGAAGACACCCUUUCGCAGUUAGAAGAGCCAGCCAGUAGGAAAGCAAGUUGAAUCUGGAGUGAUUAAUGCCAAAAAUGGUCCCCUCAAAGGAGGACUCACAGACCACUUUCUGCACUGUGGAGCGCAGAUCCUUCCCUUGGCACUGCUCAACCCACCAAGAAAGUCCCACCAGUCUAAUGUGCCAUCUCCAGAGAAGCAUCUCCUGGCACCUGCACCACAGCUAGGCUCACAAUCAACUGAGAAUACAAAAAGAGACCCCAAAAGCAGGUCACAUAAAAUGAGAUCAGAAUCCUGGUUCACCCUCUUCCAUUUAAGCACCUAACCAUGCAACUUCGAUGCAGGGUGCUGACCUUGGUUAAGAGGAUAAGCUAUGGGAACUUUUACUUUGAGAAACAGGACCAGGCAAACAGAUUGGAUUAGAGCCAUUGAUAACCUGGCUACUGUUUUACUUAGACUGGCAUAUGCUUUUGCCUUGCAACCCAAAUUUUAGGAGUCCAGAGUGCCAGAUACACAGGAAAAGGUUUUUCUGUUCACCUUUAUGAAACAAAUUCAGAAGCUCAUGUGGCUUUACAGUCUGUACAUGCCUGAUCAUGAUACUGACUCUAUGUUGGUGUGUUACAGCACCACUGACUCCUUGCCUCAGUCAUUUGCCACAGCACCCUCACAACCAAAAUAUUUAUGAUCUGUAUAAACAAUCCUAGCCCACAGUUCAAGGUCAGCUACACAAAUGGCAUGGCUCCAAGAGAAGCAAACAAAUGCCUCGUCACCACACCACCACAGAAGAGAGUGUCUAUGGCUAUGGCAGCAAGGACAUAUCUAGCUCUACAUGCCACCCUACAGUAGGAGCAGAGCAAAGAUUUACCCAGGGCAGAACACAUUCACUUCAGCUCAAGUGCUUGCAUUGUAUAAGCUGCAGACUCCUCCGGACCACUGGGGUUUUCCUAGGAAAGCCCAUUACUGUGCUUACAUGCAGUUUCACGUGAUCCAACACAUAAUAAAAACAACCCAAGGACUAAGAUUAAAAAUACAAGAGACAACAAAACUCAGGGUUGAGCUAACUAAGUUUUCUUGACAGUGAAAUGGAGGUUUUGGGGUUCGCUUAAGUUAGCAACAUGAAUUAAGCAUUUUAACUUUAGCUUAUAGAAUUAUGUGUUGAAUUUUAACUUUUUACUUAAGAAUCUUCUACCAUGGUACAAAGAGCAUAAGAAAAUGCAAAUUUCUGAAGCUUCUUGUGAUAAAGGACAAUACCAAGAGAAGACCAAGGAAUGCAAAAAACUAGAUAAAGGAGCUCCUAUGUCUCCAAGCUGAUCAAAACCGACAGACGUACUCAGAUAAGCACCAAGGGACCACAGCGCACACACAAAGGAGAAAAGUUCAAAAGUUCAGUCAUGAGGAAGACCACAGCCUUCGGCUUCAGAGACCACCAAAGACCCCCAUGCGACCACCACAGCAACCAACGCAUGCCCAGAAGGGCGUGGAUCUAAUUCCCAUGCCAGGCGAGGACAGGCAUGGACAGGGGUUGAAUAUGCAUAAAAAAGUUGUGCAAUGUAAUGCAUAUAGAACAUCUUUGUGAAUAAAGAUGUGGGUCAGACCGAGGCUCGGGGUACAAGUUUUCACGAGAGCUAUCUCACUUGUGCCGCGCGCUGACAAUACAUACCCACUUCAUAACUAUAUCAGGCUGUAGAGUCUAUUUUUUCUGCUAAUCGCUUAAGCUGAGCCUGUGUAUUCUACAAAAAAAAAGGUGAAAGAUGCAGCAGCAGACAUGAUGACAGAUCAGUUUUUUCACUAAAAAGCUCAAUUUUAUGUUGAGACACAAAGACCAAAUUAGGCAACAAAUUUAUUUUUUUUUUAAAUAAAGCAGUAGCUCACAGAACCAUUUACAUCCCACAAUUUCACUGAUGUAAGGCAAAUCAGCUAUCUGAGCUUAAUUCAGCCAGGCUACUAGAUACUAGAGUGUCAGAGUUUUAGGGCAGCUUGUUGUUAGGUCAGUUACAUGACACAAACUAAUUUAGGAGGAGUAAAGACCCGCCUACAAGUACCCUACUAUUACUGCAUUCACUUUAUGUUUAACUCCUCUAGCUGAGCUUAAACUGAAGAAAUCUUAUUUUGGUGUCCUGAUUUUAGCUUCCUGAUCACCAUAGCUCUUUGACACCACUGAACACACUCAGUAUGUAGAGAUGACAGUGAUCAACCCAUUUCCCCCCCUUCCCCAGUUUAUAACUAUCAUGCUUAUAGUCCCUAGAAAAAGAAUAAACUCCCCUGACUCUAUACUCAACAUGAUAAAAAAAGGGUUAAUUUGAUCUUUACUGUGCCUGUGAAACUUUUAGCAGAGGAAAAAGGCCUUCCAGCAAGGACAGUUGGGAGAUAAGAGGAAGACAUCUGGACCAAGAAUGCAGUGAUAGACAAAAAAAAGGACUGAAUCUCUGGGAACAUGGGGUGGGAUUUAUGAUAAUAGGUAAAUUGUACUAUGCAUGUAGUGAUUGUAUAUAAGUAACCCUCUUGUAGAAUCACGUGUCCAUGUUAGGUUAGAAUCCCCUGCAUGUUAGGUUACCCUAAAACCUGGAUCAAAACCGGUAAGGCAGAAACAAUAUCCUUUAAAAUUAGAAGGUGAAGGGAGAUCCAGAGUCUAAUAGAGAAUUUCAGGGAAUUUGGAUUAGUGAUAGAGUGUGAAUCAGAAUAUAACACAUCCAUUUUACCAGUUAACAGAAUGUCAUCAGUGGUUUACAGUAAUAAAUCUGAAGGAUGCCUUCUUUUGCAUACCUCUCAGUAAGUAAA